GAGUGACAGUGUGUGUGAGUGACAAAAUGUGUGUGUCUGUGAGUGACUGUGUGUUUGAGUGACAGAGUGUGUGUGUCUGUGAGUGACUGAGCGUGUGUGUCUGUGAGUGACUGUGUGUGUGAGUGACAGAGUGUGUGUGUCUGUGAGUGACUGUGUGUGUGAGUGACAGAGUGUGUGUGUCUGUGAGUGACUGAGCGUGUGUGUCUGUGAGUGAGUAUGUGUAUCUGAGUGACUGAGCGUGUGUCUGUGAGUGACAGUGUGUGUGUGUGACAAAGUGUGUGUGUCUGUGAGUGACUGUGUGUUUGAGUGACAGAGUGUGUGUGUCUGUGAGUGACUGAGCGUGUGUGUCUGUGAGUGACUGUGUGUGUGAGUGACAGAGUGUGUGUGUCUGUGAGUGACUGUGUGUGUGAGUGACAGAGUG